UACAGAGGGUGCGAGCGUUAAUCGGAAUUACUGGGCGUAAAGGGUGCGUAGGCGGCGCGGUAAGUCGGGUGUGAAAUCUUGGAGCUUAACUCCGAAACUGCAUUCGAUACUGCCGUGCUUGAGGACUGGAGAGGAGACUGGAAUUUACGGUGUAGCAGUGAAAUGCGUAGAUAUCGUAAGGAAGACCAGUGGCGAAGGCGGGUCUCUGGACAGUUCCUGACACUGAGACACGAAGGCCAGGGAGCAAACGGG
rnacentral:rRNA from 1 species